UACGUAGGGUGCAAGCGUUGUCCGGAAUUAUUGGGCGUAAAGAGCUUGUAGGCGGUUUGUCGCGUCUGCUGUGAAAUUUCGGGGCUCAACCCCGAACUUGCAGUGGGUACGGGCAGACUAGAGUGUGGUAGGGGAGACUGGAAUUCCUGGUGUAGCGGUGAAAUGCGCAGAUAUCAGGAGGAACACCAAUGGCGAAGGCAGGUCUCUGGGCCACUACUGACGCUGAGAAGCGAAAGCCAGGGGAGCAAACGGG
rnacentral:rRNA from 1 species